rnacentral:rRNA from 1 species
UUUAUGGAGAGUUUGAUCCUGGCUCAGGAUGAACGCUGGCGGCGUGCCUAAUACAUGCAAGUCGAGCGAACGGACGAGAAGCUUGCUUCUCUGAUGUUAGCGGCGGACGGGUGAGUAACACGUGGAUAACCUACCUAUAAGACUGGGAUAACUUCGGGAAACCGGAGCUAAUACCGGAUAAUAUUUUGAACCGCAUGGUUCAAAAGUGAAAGACGGUCUUGCUGUCACUUAUAGAUGGAUCCGCGCUGCAUUAGCUAGUUGGUAAGGUAACGGCUUACCAAGGCAACGAUGCAUAGCCGACCUGAGAGGGUGAUCGGCCACACUGGAACUGAGACACGGUCCAGACUCCUACGGGAGGCAGCAGUAGGGAAUCUUCCGCAAUGGGCGAAAGCCUGACGGAGCAACGUCGCGUGAGUGAUGAAGGUCUUCGGAUCGUAAAACUCUGUUAUUAGGGAAGAACAUAUGUGUAAGUAACUGUGCACAUCUUGACGGUACCUAAUCAGAAAGCCACGGCUAACUACGUGCCAGCAGCCGCGGUAAUACGUAGGUGGCAAGCGUUAUCCGGAAUUAUUGGGCGUAAAGCGCGCGUAGGCGGUUUUUUAAGUCUGAUGUGAAAGCCCACGGCUCAACCGUGGAGGGUCAUUGGAAACUGGAAAACUUGAGUGCAGAAGAGGAAAGUGGAAUUCCAUGUGUAGCGGUGAAAUGCGCAGAGAUAUGGAGGAACACCAGUGGCGAAGGCGACUUUCUGGUCUGUAACUGACGCUGAUGUGCGAAAGCGUGGGGAUCAAACAGGAUUAGAUACCCUGGUAGUCCACGCCGUAAACGAUGAGUGCUAAGUGUUAGGGGGUUUCCGCCCCUUAGUGCUGCAGCUAACGCAUUAAGCACUCCGCCUGGGGAGUACGACCGCAAGGUUGAAACUCAAAGGAAUUGACGGGACCCGCACAAGCGGUGGAGCAUGUGGUUUAAUUCGAAGCAACGCGAAGAACCUUACCAAAUCUUGACAUCCUUUGACAACUCUAGAGAUAGAGCCUUCCUCUUCGGGGGACAAAGUGACAGGUGGUGCAUGGUUGUCGUCAGCUCGUGUCGUGAGAUGUUGGGUUAAGUCCCGCAACGAGCGCAACCCUUAAGCUUAGUUGCCAUCAUUAAGUUGGGCACUCUAAGUUGACUGCCGGUGACAAACCGGAGGAAGGUGGGGAUGACGUCAAAUCAUCAUGCCCCUUAUGAUUUGGGCUACACACGUGCUACAAUGGACAAUACAAAGGGCAGCGAAACCGCGAGGUCAAGCAAAUCCCAUAAAGUUGUUCUCAGUUCGGAUUGUAGUCUGCAACUCGACUACAUGAAGCUGGAAUCGCUAGUAAUCGUAGAUCAGCAUGCUACGGUGAAUACGUUCCCGGGUCUUGUACACACCGCCCGUCACACCACGAGAGUUUGUAACACCCGAAGCCGGUGGAGUAACCUUUUAGGAGCUAGCCGUCGAAGGUGGGACAAAUGAUUGGGGUGAAGUCGUAACAAGGUAGCCGUAUCGGAAGGUGCGGCUGGAUCACCUCCUUUCU